GCGGCAUGCCUAACACAUGCAAGUCGAACGCUAUUUAUAGAGUGGCGCACGGGUGAGUAACGCGUGGGAACCUGCCUUUUUCUGCGGGAUAACGGUUGGAAACGACCGCUAAUACCGCAUACGCCCUGCGGGGGAAAGGUCCGCCGGAGAAAGAGGGGCCCGCGUCUGAUUAGCUAGUUGGUGGGGUAACGGCCUACCAAGGCGACGAUCAGUAGCUGGUCUGAGAGGAUGAUCAGCCACACUGGGACUGAGACACGGCCCAGACUCCUACGGGAGGCAGCAGUGGGGAAUAUUGGACAAUGGGGGCAACCCUGAUCCAGCAAUGCCGCGUGUGUGAUGAAGGCCUUAGGGUUGUAAAGCACUUUCACUGGUGAAGAUGAUGACGGUAACCAGAGAAGAAGCCCCGGCUAACUUCGUGCCAGCAGCCGCGGUAAUACGAAGGGGGCGAGCGU
rnacentral:rRNA from 1 species